rnacentral:rRNA from 1 species
AAUCAACGCUGGCGGCGUGCCUCAGACAUGCAAGUCGAACGCGAAAGUUCCCUUCGGGGGCGAGUAGAGUGGCGCACGGGUGAGUAACACGUAGGUAAUCUACCUUUGGGUGGGGAAUAACAGCCGGAAACGGCUGCUAAUACCGCAUAAAUGCAGCGGCUCGACAUCGAGACAGUUGUUAAAGCGGGGGAUCGCAAGACCUCGCGCCUAAAGAGGAGCCUGCGGCGGAUUAGCUUGUUGGUGAGGUAAUGGCUCACCAAGGCAUCGAUCCGUAGCCGGCCUGAGAGGGCGGUCGGCCACACUGACACUGACAUACGGGUCAGACUCCUACGGGAGGCAGCAGUCGGGAAUUUUGGCAAUGGCGCAAGCCUGACCCAGCAACGCCG